rnacentral:rRNA from 1 species
UUGGUCAAGUUAAUAAGGGUGCAUGGUGGAUACCUAGGCACCGAGAGCCGAUGAAGGACGUGGCAUAACUGCGAUAAGCCUCGGGGAGCCGCAAGCAGGCAUUGAUCCGGGGGUUUCCGAAUGGGGCAACCUGGCAGAGCUGAUCCUCUGUCGCAUGCAGGUGAAUACAUAGUCUGUGUGUGGGCACUGGGCGAACUGAAACAUCUCAGUAACCCAAGGAAGAGAAAGAAACCUCGAUUCCCUUAGUAGCGGAGAGCGAAGCGGGAAGAGUCUAAACCUAGCACGUGUAAGGUGACAGCCGUUGCGUGUUGGGGGUCGUGGGACCUUCAGGUGUGGCUGUUAACACACCAUGUGUUGCGCAUCGUUAGUUGAAGCUGCUGGAAAGCAGUCCCGAAGAGGGUGAGAGGCCCGUAAGCGAAAACGAAGGCGGAUGCAGGAGGUAUCCCGAGUAGCGCCAGUCCCGUGGAACCUGGCGUGAAUUUGCGGGGACCACCCCGUAAGACUAAAUACUCUCGGUGACCGAUAGUGAAAAGUAGCGUGAGCGAAAGGUGAAAAGUCCCCCUGUUAGGGGAGUGAAAUAGUACUUGAAACCGUGCACUUACAAGCGGUUGGAGGGAUGUGGGAUGGUCUUCGGACCAUGUCUGCCUGACAGCGUGCCUUUUGCAUAAUGACCCUGCGAGUUACGGUAUAUGGCGAGGUUAAGGGCGUUACGUCCGAAGCCGAAGCGAAAGCGAGUGUUAAUAGCGCGAGUUGAGUCAUGUGCUGUAGACCCGAAAGCGAGUGAUCUAUCCAUGGGCAGGUUGAAGCGGAUGUAACAGUUCGUGGAGGACCGAACCGGUAAAGGUUGAAAACUUUUCGGAUGACCUGUGGAUUGGAGUAAAAGGCUAAUCAAACUCGCAAAUAGCUGGUUCUCUCCGAAAUAGCUUUAGGGCUAGCCUCACGUGGUAGAUGAUGGGGGUAGAGCUACUGAUUGGGAUAGGGGGGCUUCCCGCCUACCCUACCCAGCCAAACUCCGAAUACCAUCAUUGGAAUCGUGGGAGUCAGACUGCGGGGGAUAAGCUCCGUGGUCGAGAGGGAAAGAGCCCAGACCGUCGGUUAAGGCCCCGAAUGCUUGCUAAGUGUUGAGAAGGAAGUGGGGGCACUAAGACAGCUAGGAUGUUGGCUUAGAAGCAGCCAUCAUUUAAAAAGUGCGUAAUAGCUUACUAGCCGAGUGCCUCUGCGCCGAAAAUGAACGGGACUGAAGCAAGCAGCCGAAGCCACGGGUGCUGUAUCGAAGCUGGUGCAGCGCGGUAGGAGAGCGUUCUACGUGGGUAGAAGGUGGACGGAAACGACUGCUGGACCGCGUAGAAGUGAUUAUGCAGGGAUGAGUAGCGAUAAAAGGAGUGAGAAGCUCCUUCGCCGAAAACCUAAGGUUUCCUGGGGAAGGCAAUUCCGCCCAGGGUAAGUCGGAACCUAAGGCGAGGCCGAAAGGCGUAGUCGAUGGAAGACGGGUUAAGAUUCCCGUACCACCCAUAAUUGUUUGAUCGAUGGGGAGACGGAGUGUGGAAGGUCGUCCAGGCGUUAGUUGUCCUGGUACAAGUGUAGGGCUGGCUGGUAGGCAAAUCCGCCGGCGUAAUGUCCUGCAUGAUGUCGAGCCGAUUAAGGCGAAGCGAUUGGAGGCACUUCCGAGAAAAACCUCUAGGUAGAGAGUGGGUGUCCGUACCAAAACUGACACAGGUUGGUGAGAUGAAUAUUCUCAGGCGCUCGAGAGAACCCUCGUUAAGGAACUAGGCAAAUUUACUGCGUAACUUCGGGAUAAGCAGUGCCCUCUGGGGUGUAAAAGCUCUGGGGGGCCGCAGAGAAAUGGUGGGGGCGACUGUUUACUAAAAACACAGGACUCUGCUAAGUAGCAACACGAUGUAUAGAGUCUGACACCUGCCCGCUGUUGGAACGUUAAGGUAAGUGGUUAGCGCAAGCGAAGCUACGAACUGAAGCGCCAAUGAAGGGCGGCCGUAACUAUGACGGUCCUAAGGUAGCGAAAUUCCUUGUCGGGUAAGUUCCGACCCGCACGAAUGGUGUAACGACUCCCACACUGUCUCAACGAGGGACUCGGCGAAAUUGAAGUUGUGGUGAAGAUACCACAUUCCCGCGGCAAGACGGAAAGACCCCGUGAACCUUCACUGCAGCCUAAUAUUGGGUUUAGGUAUGUCAUGUGUAGCAUAGGUGGGAGGCUGUGAAGCAGGGACGCUAGUCCUUGUGGAGCCGUAAGUGAAAUACCACCCUUGGCAUAUUUGAGUUCUAACCUGGUACCGUGAAUCCGGGCCGGGAACAUUGUUAGGUGGGCAGUUUGGCUGGGGCGGUCUCCUCCCAAAAGGUAACGGAGGAGCGCAAUGGUACCCUCAGUGCGGUUGGCAAUCGCACGCAGAGCGUAAAGGUAUAAGGGUGCUUGACUGCGAGACAUAUAGGUCGAGCAGGUACGAAAGUAGGUCUUAGUGAUCCGGUGGAUUCCAUGUGGAAGGGCCAUCGCUUACCAGAUAAAAGGUACUCCGGGGAUAACAGGCUGAUCUCCCCCAAGAGUCCAUAUCGACGGGGAGGUUUGGCACCUCGAUGUCGACUCAUCGCAUCCUGGGGCUGAAAGCGGUCCCAAGGGUUGGUCUGUUCGCCCAUUAAAGCGGUACGUGAGUUGGGUUUAGACCGUCGUGAGACAGGUCGGUCCCUAUCUGUCGUGGGUGUAGAAUAGCUGAGGAGAGCUGUCCUUAGUACGAGAGGAUUGGGAUGGACACACCUCUGGUGUUUCAGUUGUCGCGCUAGCGGCAUUGCUGAGUAGCUACGUGUGGACUGGAUAAGCGCUGAAAGCAUCUAAGUGCGAAGCCGCCUCCAAAAAGAGCUAUUCCUUGAGACGACUCCGAGACUAGGAGUUUGAUAGGCCGAAGGUGUACGCACAGCAAUGUGUUUAGCUGAUCGGUACUAACCAGUCGACCGACUUGGCCUCCCUUUCU